rnacentral:rRNA from 1 species
ACGGGAGGCAGCAGUAGGGAAUCUUCCACAAUGGACGAAAGUCUGAUGGGGCAACGCCGCGUGAGUGAUGAAGGUUUUCGGAUCGUAAAACUCUGUUGUAAGGGGAGAACAAGUACGUUAGGAAAUGAACGUGCCUUGACGGUACCUUAUUAGAAAGCCACGGCUAACUACGUGCCAGCAGCCGCGGUAAUACGUAGGUGGCAAGCGUUGUCCGGAUUUAUUGGGCGUAAAGCGCGCGCAGGCGGUUUCUUAAGUCUGAUGUGAAAGCCCACGGCUUAACCGUGGAGGGCCAUUGGAAACUGGGAGACUUGAGUGCAGAAGAGGAAAGUGGAAUUCCAAGUGUAGCGGUGAAAUGCGUAGAGAUUUGGAGGAACACCAGUGGCGAAGGCGACUUUCUGGUCUGCAACUGACGCUGAGGCGCGAAAGCAUGGGGAGCAAACAGGAUUAGAUACCCUGGUA